rnacentral:rRNA from 1 species
UACGGGGGGAGCAAGCGUUGUUCGGAUUUACUGGGCGUAAAGGGCGCGUAGGCGGCCAGCACAAGUCAGUUGUGAAAUCUCCGAGCUUAACUCGGAACGGUCAACUGAUACUGUGCGGCUAGAGUGCAGAAGGGGCAACUGGAAUUCUUGGUGUAGCGGUGAAAUGCGUAGAUAUCAAGAGGAACACCUGCGGCGAAGGCGGCAUCCUGGACUGGUCCUGACACUCAGGAGCGAAAGUGUGGGGAGCGAACAGG